AUUGAACGCUGGCGGCAGGCCUAACACAUGCAAGUCGAGCGGAGCGGCGGACGGGUGGGUAAGGACUAGGAAUCUGCCUGGUAGUGGGGGAUAACGUCAGGACACGGGACCUAAUACCGCAUCCUAUCAGAUGAGCCUAGGUCGGAUUAGCUAGUUGGUGGGGUAAAGGCCUACCAAGGCGACGAUCCGUAACUGGCCUGAGAGGAUGAUCAGUCACACUGGAACUGAGACACGGUCCAGACUCCUACGGGAGGCAGCAGUAGGGAAUAUUCGACAAUGGGCGAAAGCCUGACCCAGCCAUGCCGCGUGUGUGAAGAAGGUCUUCGGAUUGUAAAACACUUUAAGUUGGGAGGCGUUACCAACACAGUAAGCACCGGCUAACUUCGUGCCAGCAGCCGCGGUAAUUC
rnacentral:rRNA from 1 species